ACAAAAGGGAAAAAGGCGUGGCGGGCGCAAGCUCGUUUCACGUUCUGCUCCCGAAAUCCUGUAUUCACCCCAAGUUCCUUUAAAAUUUCAAAUAAAAACUCUGCAAAAAGACCACCUUUUUAAAGUGGCAUCUAAUUGCACAAAGCGA
rnacentral:misc_RNA from 1 species